UAUAUCUACGGUGGUGCAGUAUUCUAGUCAGAUACUAAAACGUUGAAGGCGGGGAUAAAAUAUCGCUAAAGGGCACAUCGAUGAAGUUUCUUGUGCUUCCCUUCGUUGCCCAAACGAGGGGUGGUGCUGGGAGUUAAGAACUUUGGGUAAGAAGUAACGGCAUAUUUCCUAUCCCAUUGUUCGUGGAGACUCAAGGCGGUAAGAGUAGCGCAAAGCAAAAUUACUGAUUGAGAUUAAACCUGCUAUGCGGUGAAUUAAAAGCUGUGUACAGAGUAGCCUGCUUUGAGUGACGGCUCGGGAUUAAAGAACACAACACGUUGGGUUGGCCAAUCUUACGUAGCGAUUGCUUUAUGAAAUUGACGUUGCAAAAGAAGAUAGACGUUUGGGUGUUUGUUAAGGAAAACUUCUAGACUGUUUGAUUGACAAAAUAGGGAUUAUAGUACGGACUUAGUGGCGAUUCAGUUGUGCGUUUGGUGACGGCGCAUCUUCGGAUUUAAAAGGAAACUGCUCUUGUUUUUCCGGCGACGGGGAGUAUCCGAGGGGGAAAUCCUACUGAACCUUAUGCCGUAAGGUUUACUUAUUUUGUUACCACCUUAUUUUAAAA
rnacentral:sRNA from 2 species